AUCGACUGCACAGAGCAGGCACUGGCCCAGAACAUCGACCGCACAGAGCAGGCAUCGGCUCAUAACAUCAGCUACACAGAGGAGACAUUGGCCCAAAACUUCAACUGUGUAGAGCUUACCAUCGGCUGCAUAGAGAAGCCUGCUCUGUCCAUUGACUGCACAGAACAACAAAGGCUGGAAUUCCAAAGUUGUAGGAAGUUACUGGAGGAAUACAUACACCAGGAUGAGACCCAGAGCCAGAGGAACCUGACUGAUCACUGUCCUUGGGUUCCCUAACAUUGGGAACACAUGUUACAUGAACGUGACUCUCCAGAGUCUCUUCAGUCUCCGAAUCUUCACCCAGGACAUCAGGAGAGAGGAAGGCUGCUGGAGGUCACAUCUUACCCCACAUUUACUCAAAUCUGCAGUUAGCACGGGCCAGCUACAGCAACUACAGCAUCGAACUGCAGCGACUUCUAUGGGAUGAAUAGCAGAAUGAAUACAGAGUCAUCAGUGUGCUGUCCCACAUUGGAUCCAGCAUGCAACACGGUGAGAUGUACUGUACACUAACACGUUCCUGGGCCCAAUGUCCUCAAUCUGAUCCGGAGAAAUUUCCAGUAUAUGAUUAAGCCACCAUUAUGGGCACAUUGAGCAGAGACAACACAAACUGGCUCUCAUUUGACGACGAGAGUAAAGCAGCUGGACCAGAAAGUCUGUGUUGAAGCGGAGGUCAAACUCCGCCUAUAUGCUUUUUUAUGAAUACAGGUGAAAGCUCAUCCAUAACAAUAGCCCUGCUGUUCUGUGAUUGUGGUACAGGUAGAAGUAUGGCUGAGCUACGAAUAAAAGGUAAGAGCUCCUCUGUGGCAAUAGCAUCAGGUGCAGUUGUGUUGGCGAAGGUCUGCAGGCAGUGUGACUGGCCUGGUCUCUGUUGUAGGAGUGCUGGUGGUAGAUCACGUGUCAAAGCAAUGAGUUAACUAUACAAUCUGCUCAGAGCUGUUUACCCUGGGUGUGAAAUAUGCCAUCAUGGCCUGUGUUAUUAUGAUCUAGAAAGUCUGACUUCAUUACUGCAUCCAGUGUUCUACCGGCCCUUCGGCCUCCAACAGGUCCUCACCAUCUUCAUGGAUCUGUGUGCAGAUCUGAACCUCUUCUCUUGGGACCACUGCAUCUCCAACAGGGAUUGUUUUACAUGUAUUGGUUUCGAGCUGGACAACUUUAUGGGUAGUUGACUUGGUUGAGGUAUUGUCUAUGACACUAUUGGCUGUGUUUGCACUUGAAUUUGAAGACAUUUGCAUUUAAACAGUAUUUAAACUGUAAACAGAUUAAAUAAACCCCUUUCUCUUUGCUUAAAUUUCACUGAAUGGCAUUUUAGCUUGCCUCAAUGACAUGCAUGCAUGUAAUAGUGUUUACACAGGAAUAGCAACCGUCAAAUGGUUCCUAGGCCUCAAUUCAACUUUGAACUUUGACCUGGACAUUCUUUUUUUGCGUAUAUUACCCUAGCGUGUCGUGUUACCUCUGAGUGUCUGUUGGUCAGCACUGUAGGGCCACGGUACCAGGAGGAUGACAUUGAAACAAAAGAUUCAGGGGCUGCAGUAUUCGGUGGAUUUCAUUGGGUUUGUGUUUUCGUCGGUGACUUAUUUUUCAUAAGGAACAGGCAGACCUGGUAAAUAACUAUGUAAUGUCGAUGUAAUGUUUUAAAAAAACAUUUUCCAUUGUGCUUGUUAUUCCUAGUGAGUUCUGUGUUUUCUAGUGGAGCUCAAAUCUUCCUUGAUCACCAAGUGGUCUAAGAAGCACGCUGACGCAUUGUCACUCACUGGAAAUAAGGCACCUGAACAAGCAAAGUAGUUAACUCUUUUACAGAUAGGGAGUGUUAAAUGCAUGAUGUCAUGUUUCCAUACCCCCAUCCCCACCCCUGCACUGCAUUUUGAUUUAAGUUUGUUUCUUUUCUCUUUCGUUGCAACCCCUAAAUCAUCAUAUUCCCAACAUAAUCAUUAUGUUUCAUUGCUCAGAAAUUCAAUGCCACUCACUUAAUUUUGUUUUGAGUUGCCAUCUGUCUCCAUGUUCUCAGACUUUCAAAAUAAACCCUCGCCCCGUAUCACGUGUCAUGUGCAUACCACCACUGUACUGCUUUGGAAGAGCCCUGAAUGCAUUAUAUGUAUGUGGCCUGUUAAAUGGAAAUAGUUAAAUACCAAUAUUGGAUGUAACAACAACAAGAAAUGCCCAAUUAGAAAGUCAGUCAUGUUACAAAAGACAACCAUAAUCACUAAUUGGCCGAAGGAAAGCAUUUUAAGACACUACAUCGAUGUAGACCACUGUUAAAUCGCAUAUCCAUUUUUCAAAGCCUCAAAAACCACACCAUGUUGCUUUAGCCAGACUGUCCUUAUAAACAGUCUGGCUAAAGCAGACUAUGACGCUCAUGGGAAACCUGCUUCGGCCAGGGCUAAUAUGGUUCACUCAAGUGUAGAACACAUUUACUGAAACAUGCCGUUUUGGCUGGUCUGCCCCUUUCCCCCUGAAAUAAGUAAUAAAAAUUUCCUAUUAUUGUGUCAUUUGUAAUCUCCUUUCAGACAUACUGUAGGGCUGGUGCUGCUCUCAAGCUAUUUUGGAGGUUCCAUUCUGCACAGGAAUUUGAGAGAUAGUCGCAUGAAAACAUGCAGUGCGUUCAGUUCUUCCCUCCAGACUGUGGUCUGUGUGAUCAAAAUUCCAAAGCCAGUCAUUUAAACACACCAUGCAAAAUGUACGGUCCAUAUGCAAAUUAAAAACGUACAGCCUCAGAAAGUAGCGAGUGGCUGGGACCUGGUAUGAGAUUAAUUCUGCUUAAGUACCUGAUUCCACAGCUCCCGAGCUCUAAAGUAAGCAACGGCGUGCAUCGCUGCACCUACAAAAAGGCAUCUGAGCAUCGGGCGGUUUCCUGUCCGACCUCGUCCAAGAAUCACAAAAUAUGUAAUCCGCUUCUGCAUGAGAGAUUGAGAGAAAUAAUAGGUACAUGAAGCCCACAGUAUACACAUGUGCAAAGGACCAAAAACACUGGCAGCUUUGAAGUGGGGAUGUUUUCACA